rnacentral:siRNA from 1 species
GGUUGAACGGGUCACUCGUUUGGG